rnacentral:rRNA from 1 species
GACGAACGCUGGCGGCGUGCCUAAUACAUGCAAGUCGAACGCUGAAGAGAGGAGCUUGCUCUUCUUGGAUGAGUUGCGAACGGGUGAGUAACGCGUAGGUAACCUGCCUUGUAGCGGGGGAUAACUAUUGGAAACGAUAGCUAAUACCGCAUAACAAUGGAUGACACAUGUCAUUUAUUUGAAAGGGGCAAUUGCUCCACUACAAGAUGGACCUGCGUUGUAUUAGCUAGUAGGUGAGGUAAUGGCUCACCUAGGCGACGAUACAUAGCCGACCUGAGAGGGUGAUCGGCCACACUGGGACUGAGACACGGCCCAGACGCCUACGGGAGGCAGCAGGAGGGAAACUUCGGCAAGGGGGGCAACCCUGACCGAGCAACGCCGCGUGAGUGAAGAAGGUUUUCGGAUCGUAAAGCUCUGUUGUAAGUCAAGAACGGGUGUGAGAGUGGAAAGUUCACACUGUGACGGUAGCUGACCAGAAAGGGACGGCUAACUACGUG